rnacentral:tRNA from 1 species
GGCCCCUUCGUCUAGUGGUCUAGGACACUAGCUUUUCAAGCUAGCAGCACGGGUUCGAUUCCCGUAGGGGCUA